rnacentral:rRNA from 1 species
CCUACGGGGGGCUGCAGUGAGGAAUAUUGGUCAAUGGGCGCAAGCCUGAACCAGCCAUGCCGCGUGCAGGAUGACGGCCCUAUGGGUUGUAAACUGCUUUUAUACGGGAAGAAACCUUCGGACGUGUCCGGAGCUGACGGUACCGUAAGAAUAAGCACCGGCUAACUCCGUGCCAGCAGCCGCGGUAAUACGGAGGGUGCAAGCGUUAUCCGGAUUUAUUGGGUUUAAAGGGUGCGCAGGCGGAUUAAUAAGUCAGUGGUGAAAUCCCCCGGCUCAACCGGGGAAUUGCCGUUGAUACUGUUAGUCUAGAGUUUAGUUGAAGUAGGCGGAAUGUAGCAUGUAGCGGUGAAAUGCAUAGAUAUGCUACAGAACACCAAUUGCGAAGGCAGCUUACUAACCUAAAACUGACGCUCAGGCACGAAAGCGUGGGGAUCAAACAGGAUUAGAUACCCCUGUAGUC